UAUUUUCGACAAUGGGGGAAACCCUGAUCCAGCCAUCCCGCGUGUAGGAUGAAGGCCUUCUGGUUGUAAAGUACUUUUGGCAGAGAAGAAAAGGUAUCUCCUAAUACGAGAUACUGCUGACGGUAUCUGCAGAAUAAGCAUCGGCUUACUACGUGCCAGCAGCCGCGGUAAUACGUCGGGUGCAAGCGUUAAUCGGAAUUACUGGGCGUAAAGCGUGUGUAGGCGGUUCGUAGAGAAAGAUGUGAAAUCCCAGGGCUCAACCUUGGAACUGCAGUUUUAACUGGCGAGCUAGAGUAUGUCAGAGGGGGGUAGAAUUCCACGUGUAGCAGUGAAAUGCGUAGUUAUGUGGAGGAAUACCGAUGGCGAAGGCAGCCCCCUGGGAUAAUACUGACGCUCAGACACGAAAGCGUGGGGAGCAAACA
rnacentral:rRNA from 1 species